AAGAGAAACUAGGCAUAUCAAAACGCGUCGUUUUCUAUUUGGUGGGUUGAACUCUCAUCAUUUUUCGCCGUCGCGAUAUCGGCUCCAACUCUAGGGUUUCGAUUCAUCUUCUUCUUCCUACACAAAAUUUUACCAGUUUCACAUUCAUCUUCUUAAAGUCCUCAUUGAUUCCAUUAUUCACGGUCUACAUUUAUUGUCUGCUUCGCUAUUCCAAGGCGGUGGAGAUCUCAGUAUAAAAGGAAUGUUAGGCGGUUGAUGAAUCCUAUUAUUAAUUAGUACACUCUUCUUCUCCAUAGACUCCUGCGAAGAUCAAAGAAUCAUCGGAACCUCCCAGCUAUAGCUGUCCGAUUUGAAGCAUGGCCUUUGUUCUCAGAUCUUUGUCAUUGCGACUAUUGGAUGAUAAGAAACAGAUGUUGGAUGAUAGAAGGUUCCCAAAAUUGCAUCUCAACUUGCAGUCCAGGUGAUUGCACAUGCAAAACAAGUGUUUCCAAGAGUGAAAGAAAAAUGUUCCACGAAGCAUUGGUUUCUUGCAGAAAAUAUCAACUGUUUGGAGGAGUUGAUUGGACGGUUAAGACGUUUAGAAGAGAAUGGUAUCAUUGCGAACCAUGUUACUGCAAUCCAAGCUGGUUUGGAUAGUUGGCAAGCUAAGCAAAGCUCUUUUACCUUUAUCAGUCAUAACCAGAGUUUUUGGAUGAACGUUGGAGGAGUUCCUUGGACAGGACAAAACAAACCUAAGCUAGGUGAUGUAUUUAGAAACUUUAUGUACAUAUGCCUUAUAAUGCUGGCUGUAGUGUAUUCAAAAAUAAACAAGAAACCACCCACUCUUUCCACCAUGCUUAAUCCAGGUUUGGACACUUAGUCCACCAUUAUCUUU